rnacentral:rRNA from 1 species
AGUGAACGCUGGCGGUAGGCCUAACACAUGCCAGUCGAACGGCAGCACAGUAAGAGCUUGCUCUUACGGGUGGCGAGUGGCGGACGGGUGAGGAAUACAUCGGAAUCUACUUUUUCGUGGGGGAUAACGUAGGGAAACUUACGCUAAUACCGCAUACGACCUACGGGUGAAAGCAGGGGAUCUUCUGACCUUGCGCGAUUGAAUGAGCCGAUGUCGGAUUAGCUAGUUGGCGGGGUAAAGGCCCACCAAGGCGACGAUCCGUAGCUGGUCUGAGAGGAUGAUCAGCCACACUGGAACUGAGAAACGGUCCCGACUCCUACGGGAGGAAGCAGUGGGGACUAUUGGACAAUGGGCGCAAGCCUGAUCCAGCCAUACCGCGUGGGUGAAGAAGGCCUUCGGGUUGUAAAGCCAUUUUGUUGGGAAAGAAAAGCAGCAGGUUAAUACCCCGCUGUUCUGACGGUACCCAAAGAAUAAGCACCGGCUAACUUCGUG